rfam:Exophiala dermatitidis NIH/TT8656 mitochondrion, whole genome shotgun sequence.
GGGGGUAUAGUUUAAUUGGUAAAACAGCGAGUUUGCAAUUCGUCAUUUUAGGUUCGAUUCCUGAUAUCUCCA